GCUGUGCCACUGCCACCGCCGCCGCCGCUGCAUCCCGCCCGGUCCGAGUCCGCCCGCCACGCCCGCCGAGCUGCUGCCGCCGCCAGUCUCUCAGCCACUCCACCCACGAGAUGGUGAGUCUUCUGUGGUCCCUCCCCCACAAGGCCCAAGUCCCUGGGCAGAGAGUGGGCCCAGAGGACAGCAGGCAGCACCUAGGACCUAAGCCUGGGAGUUGCCCCCUGCAGACAGCUUAGACCCACGACCAGCUCCCUUACCCCCACCCUGCGGCUGCAUCCUGGGAGGUGGGCACUCUUAGUGCCCUGUGACAUUCAUUCAUUCCAUGGCCCCUCAGGGAGCUCACCUUCUAGGAGACGGCACAGAGGCUCUGGCCCUGGCAAACUGGGAUUCGAGCCCAGGCAUGAGGCCCAGUCCUCUGCCGUCUGGGCCACAGCACACCAUCGCCCAACAACCAAGAGAUUCUCUUCGUCCCAGCCUCAUCAGCCCCCAGGGGAUGGGAGAGGGCAGGCACCAGGCAACAAGGUCCAAAGAGACCUCACAACUUGCUCAAGGUGGCCGAGCCUGUCCCCUGGAGGACAGACUCAGCUGCCAGGCCUGUCCAGGCCUGGGGACUGCAAAGAACAAGAAUUCCAUUCACACGAAGCCUCCCAGCAGCCCCAUAUUGGGGGGGCGCCAGCCUCAGAGAGGGGAGGGACGUUAGGUUUCAUCCAAAGAAAGCAUUUCCAUGACUCAAAAUAUCUGCAGGGGGGAUACUGUCUAGCCUUCUAAUGUUUAGCCCAGGGCUGGGCACACAGUAGGGCUUCAAGACCUACGUGGGGAUGACAGUGGAAUCACAUUUAGGUGUCAGCACACUCCAUGCCGGGUCAUGAGACAGAAAUAAGCCACCUCAGAGUGAUGGCUGGGUUCGUUCAUUCAUCUACUCUUCAGUCAACAAACACUUACUGAGAAGUGGCUGUGUGCCAGGCACGCUUUAGGUGCUGGGGUUGCCUCCAUGAACAAAACAAGCAGAAAACUCUGCUGCUGUGAAGCAAGCUAAGGCGGAGCCCAGCAUGGCAGGGGCGGGAGGGGCUGGCCGGCAAGACACUGCUUCCUGUCAUCCCCCCAGGGGCACCACACAGAACAGUUUACAAAGCACUCCCACGGUUGCGUUCCCAUUAACAAGCCUUCACCCCCAACACAAGCCUUUCCUCUCCUAGUCCCCGGGACGGUGUCAGCCCUGAACAUAGCCCAGGCUGGGAGAGUGGGGGGCUUACACCCUUGGGUGACUUAAUGUGCCCACUGGCCCACCCUGCCCAAGACCUACCACUUCUGCUCUCUCAGCUCUCCCUGGAUCCAUCGGGUCCCGAGUGGGAUUGCCCACUGGGUUCCAAGGACCUGGAGGAAGAGGGCCCCUGGGGAGGGGGCUCUGGCCUGCCGCCCACAGGCUGCUUCCCUGGCUCCUGGCGCCAGGACGUGGGCCUGGACUGCAAGGGAUCCCCCGAGGGGGCCGAGGCCCGGGCUUGGACUGUCUACUACUACAGCCUCCUGCAGAGCUGUCUGCAGCAAGCUGGCCUUCCGGAGACCCAGGACCGCAGCCAGGUGCCCCGCACAGGCUGUCCUGGGGCGGAGGUGACCUUGUGCGUUCUGGGCUCCCCCAGCACCUUUCUGCCUGUGCUGCUGGAGGGUGGGGUCCAGAGCCCGGGAAACAUGCUCCUUUGCCUGUCCCCUGCUUGGCUGAUGAAGGUGCCAGCACCCGGGCAGCCGGGUGAGGCAGCCCUGCUAGUCUCCAAGGCUGUGAGCUUCCACCCUGGGGGCCUGACAUUCCUGGAUGACUUUGUCCCCCCGCGCCGUGCCACCUACUUUUUGGCAGGCCUGGGCCUGGGGCCUGGCCGGGGCCGAGAGGCAGCAGAACUCGCCCGUGACCUGACCUGCCCCACAGGAGCUUCGGCUGAGCUGGCCCGGCUGCUGGAAGACCGGCUGCUGACAAGGCAGUUGCUGGCCCAGCAGGGUGGUGUGGCUGUGCCAGCAACCCUGGCUUUCACCUACAAGCCGCCGGGGCUGCUGCGGGGAGGGGAUGCCAGCCUAGGGCUACGGCUGGUGGAGCUGAGUGGCAAAGAGGGCCAGGAGACGCUGGUGAAAGAGGAAAGGACCUGGCUGGGCCCCAAGCCUUGGACAAAUCCUGGGAAAACCUGAGACUAGAACCCUUGUCUUCCUCUUACCCAAAUUCUAGGAUAGCUCUAGAGCCUGCUGGAAACUUGGUGGCAUCCAACCUGCCUCAUUUGGCCUGAGCGGUAGAGGCAGGUGGCCUGUGGACAGAAGUAAUCCUCUUUCUGCUCACCCCAGGCAGACACAACUGCCUAUGUUCCCCCGAUGAGAGGAAACAGGCUGAGAGA
rnacentral:sRNA from 1 species